CCUACGGGAGGCAGCAGUAGGGAAUCUUCCGCAAUGGACGAAAGUCUGACGGAGCAACGCCGCGUGAGUGAUGAAGGUUUUCGGAUCGUAAAGCUCUGUUGUUAGGGAAGAACAAGUGCAAGAGUAACUGCUUGCACCUUGACGGUACCUAACCAGAAAGCCACGGCUAACUACGUGCCAGCAGCCGCGGUAAUACGUAGGUGGCAAGCGUUGUCCGGAAUUAUUGGGCGUAAAGGGCUCGCAGGCGGUUUCUUAAGUCUGAUGUGAAAGCCCCCGGCUCAACCGGGGAGGGUCAUUGGAAACUGGGAAACUUGAGUGCAGAAGAGGAGAGUGGAAUUCCACGUGUAGCGGUGAAAUGCGUAGAGAUGUGGAGGAACACCAGUGGCGAAGGCGACUCUCUGGUCUGUAACUGACGCUGAGGAGCGAAAGCGUGGGGAGCGAACAGGAUUAGAUACCCUGGUAGUCCACGCCGUAAACGAUGAGUGCUAAGUGUUAGGGGGUUUCCGCCCCUUAGUGCUGCAGCUAACGCAUUAAGCACUCCGCCUGGGGAGUACGGUCGCAAGACUGAAACUCAAAGGAAUUGACGGGGGCCCGCACAAGCGGUGGAGCAUGUGGUUUAAUUCGAAGCAACGCGAAGAACCUUAC
rnacentral:rRNA from 2 species